CUCCGGCUCCUCAUUCCGGCUGCACACACGAGAGCCGUGACCACGAGCCUUCCGCACCUCCCUGGCUCUGGCUGCCGGGCCUGAUGGCCGAGCGGGCGUCACGUGGUUGCUCCCCCUGACGACAACCACCUCCCUCCCCACCCAGACACAGCUGUGACCUCAGAGCUGUGUGCAAAGUGUGUCCACGGGUCGUUGUAGUCGAUGGCAGAGAAAUAGCAUUUUCGUGGAGAGCUGGGAAGUAGCAUGAAAUGGUCUCGUAAAUAUUAGAGGCGAACUCGUCUCAAGGGGAGAACCGUCCUGUGUCCCUGUGGCUUGGUGGCGUUCUGGAAAUGCUGGGACGAAGGACGAGGAAGAGCGGCGAUGAGGGAUCCUUCCUUUACCUCAUUCACAGAAGCAGCCACACGGAUCCUGCUAAGAAUUUCCAGGUACGGCCACUGACGGAAGCAUCACAAGGCAUAAGACAGAGCUGCUGAGAAGACGCAUAGGUGCAAUGCUUAAAACAGGUAGUAUUCGCAACACCCAGAAAAACAAGGACACAACAAACAUGGAGUGAAUAUGACAAACCAAGAAGAGAGAUGAGGAUAAUAAGGAGAGAAAGUCAUGUGAAAACUGGAUUAACAGGAAAGCUCUACAACACAGUCAAGUCUGGAUUGUGCUGCAAGUCGAAGAGAAAGGCAAAAAUUUAAGAAAUCUAACAAAACAAAAACCCAAGAAAGCAAGGAUGAACUCUACCAAUCUCUACUCUGUACCACAAGACCAAGAAAAGGGACAGAAGUCUUUAGAGACAAAACCUCAAUAACCAUGGGGAAGCAAUUCUGAACAUUCUCUUUGCCAUUUGUAAUGAAUAAACAUGGUUUCAAAGGGGAUAUCAUGACUCUCUCAGGUUGCAGUCAUGCUCCAAACAUGAUUGCUGCCAACUCUCCUUUGGGUAGUGGCCCACAGACAUGGCUGCUAGUGACUGUGAGGCGAGAAUAAGACAAUAUGUGCAAAGCAUCGAGCACAGUGGUCUGGCGCCGAGGACACACGCAGUAAUGUUAAUUAAGGUCUGUCUCCUCACCAAUGCAAAGGAUCAAAUAAAUGCAAUACUGCCAAGUGGAUAAAGUACACAAAAUCACAAGUAUCCUUUUAUUUUACUUUGGAGAAUAAGUUUGUGAUAUCUUAUAAACGAUCUUCCUAAGAAGCAAAACUCCACCUCAUAUAACAACAACAGCGACAACUGUUGUACCUGAGAAAGACUGGUUUA